GAAACGACGUCGGCAAACAGAUUUAAACCAACAUUUGAAGUGUUGCAUCGGUUUGUCAGUGCGGUGAGAAAACUUAAUUUCUGAAGAAGCCUGGAUACUAAAACAGGGUUUGGAGCUGUUUUUUUGGUCGAACACGAGUGAGACUGGACGCUGAAUCCACCUGCAGCGCGAAGGUGUCACCACUUCCAUCCACGAUCACCGAGCAGUCGUGCACUAUCACAGAGACAUGGUCCAUGAUCAGAGACAUUGUUGAAGAUGAGGGAGACAUUGUCCAUGAUCAAAGACAUUGUCCACAAUCACAGAGACCUUGUCAGAGAUGAGAGAGAUGUUGUCCAUGAUCAGAGACAUUGUCCAUCACUCGUAGAGACCUGCACAAGAAUCGGCAGUGACGGGGGUCCCAGAUUCGACGGCAGCACUCACAAUCAGAGAGACACCGCCUAUGAUGAUCUCAAAGACAUUGUCCACUAUCGCAGAGCCAUCGUCCACAAUCAGAGAAACAUCGUCCACGAUCACAGAGAGUCUUCGUACAAUGAAGAAGUUCUUUGAGACCAGGACAGAGGCCUCCAGGUGUCACAACUUUGUCCACAUCGUCCAUGAUCACAGAGACAUUGUCCAUGAUCAGAGAGAUGUUGUUGAGGAUGAGGGAGACAUUGUCCACAAUCAGGGACGUUGUCCAUGACUUGCAGAGAUAUCAUCCACGAUCACAGAGUCCUCAUACAAUGAAGAAGUUCUUUCAGACCAGGACAGAGGCCUCCAGCUGAAUUCACAGAAACAAUAGGAUCCACGAAAGGGUAAGGAGAUGACAACAGCAGCUGAAGACCUGAAGUGGAUGACAAACGAGAAACGUGUUACGAAGCUGUUAAUGAGAUAAAAGACCUCCACCAAACAGUGUUGGUUUCCUGUUGUUCAAGUGAAAACAUGGUUUUGUAAUGUAGUCAUGGGCAUAUUUUCCAAAGACUAAUCUGUCUAAUUAACACCUGUGAGAACAUUCAACUGCUUAUGAUACAACUAUUUAAUUAAUAAUUGUAUCACAAGCAGUUAAGUGAUCACAAAAAUGUUUCGUAAACAUGUUCAUCUCUGGAAAAUGUGCUCAUAACAUCAUUAACCCUAAGCAGCUCUAACAAGUGUUUCCUUGUGGUCAAAUGUCCGUCUUUAUCUUUGCUGUGAUCUGUUAAAUGUUGUCUGGAAUAAAAUCAUUA